rnacentral:rRNA from 1 species
GAUGAACGCUGGCGGCGUGCUUAACACAUGCAAGUCGAACGGUGAAGGCGGAGCUUGCUCUGCUGGAUCAGUGGCGACCGGGUGAGUAACACGUGAGCAAUCUGCCCCUGACUCUGGGAUAAGCGCUGGAAACGGCGUCUAAUACUGGAUACGAGCUGCGCAGGCAUCUUCAGCAGCUGGAAAGAACUUCGGUCGGGGAUGAGCUCGCGGCCUAUCAGCUUGUUGGUGAGGUAACGGCUCACCAAGGCGUCGACGGGUAGCCGGCCUGAGAGGGUGACCGGCCACACUGGGACUGAGACACGGCCCAGACUCCUACGGGAGGCAGCAGUGGGGAAUAUUGCACAAUGGGCGAAAGCCUGAUGCAGCAACGCCGCGUGAGGGACGACGGCCUUCGGGUUGUAAACCUCUUUUAGCAGGGAAGAAGCGGAAGUGACGGUACCUGCAGAAAAAGCGCCGGCUAACUACGUG